CAGCUUUUAUGUCAACUGUUUCUCCUCAUUUUCCCAUCUUUCUUUUACACAAACCUUUGGAUAUUUCUUCCUGUCAACCGUCCUCAUCAGACACGUUCGGCAUUUGAGCAGAACUGUUUUCGAAAAGGGGAGAAAAGUUACAUCUGCUUUCAAAAGGUAAGAAAAAAAAGUAGGGCAGAACAUGUGUAUGUUAUUAUGAGCCAUAUGCUCAUUUGCUGUCUUUUUCUUAUUUGGCAUCGCAAGCAGAAUCGAUGUGGGACAUAGAGCACAGAAAGGACUCUAUCAACAAAGAGGAAGUUCAGAAUUUGUGACUUUAUGUUUGCUGGGUUUCGGAUUACAUUGAUGCAUCUUUACCCUCUGCCCGGGGGGCUGCAGUCAAGGGCAGAGAGGAUCCUCCCUCCCUCCUUCCCUCCAUCCCAACUUUUGAUUCCAAGAGAAUACAAGCUGGAAUAUUUAGCAAAGUGAUGGGUACACACCUGGGAGUUUAUACCUUCUGGCCGCAGCUUAACAUGUGGAUAGGAAGCCUAUCAACAGUGCCUACAUCUGUUUAGGGAGAAGUUUAUGAGUGUCCUACAGCAAAUCGGCUCUCUUGGGAAUGCCAGCCCCGCAGAUGGUGGCAUUCUGUUUAUAAUAGUUGAAAUACUGCAGCAACCAUUAUGAUGAAAGCAGCAAACCUCACCGGUGCCUUUGUCUUAUUUAAGGCUGACAUCUUGAGGUCAAACCAUUCAUCCCCUGGGAAUACUCAAAGAUCAUUCUACAAUUGUCCACACUUGAUGUUGGGACUGCUAAACAAUCACAGAUAUAUCAAUCAGCUGUAACAACACUAGGUGAAGAAGUACAGUGAAGUUUUAUAAGACCAAUUUUCUGAAAGACUGCCAAUGAUCUCCAGCUUCUUUCAAUGAAUUCUCCUCCCCCAUAGCAACACAAGCCUUGCUGUCAUAUCAUUGUCGCAUCCAUUAUAACAAGCAAUGCACAGUAAACAAGCACAGUUUGAAUUUGAGAGUGGAAGAUGACAUUAGGUUGAAAAGAGUGGGAAAUCUAAGAUGGGGAGAGGAAAUUAUUAGUCUGAAGACUGGUGUCUCUGACUUGUAGUCUUCGUUUUACUCCUUGCUUUACUAGGUCUGUCCAAGGUGCUGAAUCCUAUCCCCCAAAACAGCUUUAGUUCCUGCAAUA
rnacentral:lncRNA from 1 species